rnacentral:rRNA from 1 species
AACGAACGCUGGCGGCAGGCUUAACACAUGCAAGUCGAGCGCCCCGCAAGGGGAGCGGCAGACGGGUGAGUAACGCGUGGGAACAUACCCUUUGGUUCGGAAUAACUCAGGGAAACUUGAGCUAAUACCGGAUACGUCCGUAAGGAGAAAGAUUUAUCGCCAAAGGAUUGGCCCGCGUCCGAUUAGCUAGUUGGUGAGGUAACGGCUCACCAAGGCUACGAUCGGUAGCUGGUCUGAGAGGAUGAUCAGCCACAUUGGGACUGAGACACGGCCCAAACUCCUACGGGAGGCAGCAGUGGGGAAUAUUGGACAAUGGGCGCAAGCCUGAUCCAGCCAUGCCGCGUGAGUGAUGAA